CUCCCACGUGCACUGUCUCAUGACCUUUGAUUGACCUAAGUCAAGCCCUCCCAGAGUAACUUCUGAAACCCUUUUUUAAAUCUCAAGGCUUCACUUCUGCAUUGCUUGUCCUCAGUGGGAAUGCUAUUAGGCCACACCCUUAGUGCUACUGGCCUGAGGAUGACACUUCACGUCUGUUAACUAAGGUGUGAAAUACAAACGUAUUCUCUCUCUAGCCUAAACUCUCACAUUUUGUAUUUUUGCCAGAAGAAGGUGAGUUAAUUAGUAGAGGCAUUGUUUUCAAAUCACCCACUAAAGAUUCUGUUGGAUGUUAGGCUUAUCCUUACACAGACAGUCACUAGGAAGGUGACCACGAUAAGCCAGUUACAGUAUUGAAGCGGUAUAAAGGGCAUAUAUGGUCUGAGGCAAAUAUGGCCAAGGCGAACUUUGUAAAAACGUUCCUCAAGGGAGUGAAUGGCACUGAUUACUUACUGUCUCACCUAUUUUAGGGGCCAUUAUACCUUUAGUGAAGCACAUAAAUGAAAAGCAUAGGAAAAAGUCCAAUAAGGAGCCUAAUUUCUUAAUGACAAAAAAAUAAGCAAUAUUCCACCCCAAAUAUGAAACUUCAAAAUAAUCUUAGUAUAGAAUACAGGAUUAAACUAAUUUUUUUCUGCCUAUUCUUAGUAAGCAUUACAUGAUUUGCUAUCACUUUAUCAAAUCGGUAAACUGGUUGUUAUGUAAUUUGUAUUAGCUGGACAGGAGCCAGAUGGACUAAGUUCUGCCUCUGUUUGGUUUUCCCUCUGCUUUAAAUAACCAAGAGCAGACCACUUAAACUGCCUAUAUCCCUUUAUCUUUUUCCUGGAAUGUAAGUAAUUAUACUUUCCUCUCUCUUGUGAAUAUCAGUGAAUUGUACUUCUGAAGUGAUUCUAAAUCCCUGUGUUUUGGAAAUGAACAUAAUAUCUAGAUAUGAUUAUGUUAUAAUGCUACAAUAGAUAGAAAGCUUUUUAACUUUUAAGUUUAAAAGCAUUCUUUUUUUAUUUUUUUUUUAAAGAUUGGCACCUGGGCUAACAACUGUUGCCAAUCUUUUUUUUUUGUUGUUCUGCUUUAUCUGACGAGCGGUGCCAUGUCCGCACCCAGGAUCCGAACCCUGGGCCACCGCAGCAGAGCACGCGAACUUAACCACUCGGCCACGGAGCCGGCCCCUAAAAGCAUUCUUUUGAGGCAGCCCAGAAAGCAUAUUUAAUUUUUUUUCCAUUUUAACCUUGACAUAGAUGCUAAUAGAAUUUUGUGAAUCCUCAUCAUUGAGAAUGUUGAAAUAGAGCAACAUGCAUAAAGUCCUUGGUAAUAUAGUAAGUUUAUAUGUGGCAUGGACUAUGCAAUAUUUUAUUUCCUUAACUUCAGUAUUUGAAUUCAUAUUCUGUGUGUUCUUCGAGAUGGUAUAAAUUAUUUAUGUCAGCGAUAUCAAAUCUGUUUUUUAAAAAAGAAAAUCUUAACUCUUCCCUGAUAUCGAUUUUGUCACAGAGUUGUGAAUUUUCAGAAAAUGAGGACCUAGAAGACGUGGAUGAGGGAAUUGGUGAAUGUGCGGAAGGUGGGAAAGAAGCUGAGAGAGAGAAUAAAAAUGUUCCUGCAGACGACCCCAGUGAAACCAGCGACAGCUCGGCUGAAAAGGUACUGGCAACCGCUGAACAGGACAAAAAAUCCAACCAACAGAAACGGGCCCUUUAUGAAUACAACGAAAAUCCAAAAGGAAGCAUGUGUAGCCAUGCAAAGAGCAGUUCUUCGGAAGUCCUGGGAUAUAGUGUAGCAACACCCAGUAAAGAAGUGAAAAAAUCAAAGGUAAGUGCAAUGAAUUUUUCAUUUUAAUGUUUAGACCAAAGUAUUGAAUUACUCCUUCUACUUUUUAUAUGGUGAUCCACAUAAUUUAAUCCCCUUAAUAUGGGUUUUUAUGUCCUAAAAUGUGAAGAAUUUCAGGUGAUGUUUCACAUUUUUAGGGUACAUAUUUAUUUAUUUAUUGGACUUUAAGAUUACGAGUCACGUUGCUCUGCCAAAAUUUAAUAGCAUGUUCCUUUCUAUCAUCCUGUUUAUGCUGAUUCAACAUAUAAUACCAGAUACGUAAAAGAACUGUUGCUUAAAUUAUGAGUAUAAUAAUCAUGAGAGUCUAAAAGAGAGUAGAGCAAAGCCAAGAAAUAGGAUGAAUUAAAAAAUAGAGACGAUUGUGCUUAGAAAAUCCACUUUAGAAACUAUUUUCUAUUUUGCUUUCCAGUGUAUCCUUGGUACUUAGCAUAGUUCCUGGUACAUGGUAAAUGCUCAGAAAUAUUUUUGGUUGACAAUGAGUUGCAGAAUGUAAGGGAAUAAGAAAGGGGAAAGGAUGAAGGUAAAACCAGGAGCCACCCUUCGAGUAGUAAACAGCCUGUCUUUGCCAUCUUUGGAGGUAUAUGCCACUCUGAGAUUUCUUUCAGAAUUACUUCAGAAAUUUCAAAAGUUAUUUUGGCCUAGAUCCCCAUAUUGUUAUCUUUUACUAAAAGUUAUUUCAUGACCAUUUUUAUCUUUAUAAAAAUUAUCUUAUAACUUUGGAUUAUUAUACCCCAAAGAUAGUUGUGACCUGGCUCAAAGGAUACUUUAGAAUUAUUAUCCUUCUUAGAGUUUUAACAUAUGUAUUGUCAGAACAUUUGAUCAAGGUUUAGGAACUUUUUAGAUUCUCUGUCUAGUAGAACAGAACAUUUAACGGGUAUCUACUAUGCUUCAUAGCAUUCCCGUGAAUAGUUUUUCCAAUUAUAAGAGCUCAAAAAAGGCUCUAGAAAAAAAAAAAUCAGAUGUGAGGGAGAAAGAUGAAUAGUAAAGGAGUCAGGAGACGUAAGAACCUAAGGAGAGAAAAAGUGAAGCGAAGCAAACACACCUCUGACCAAAUGAAAAUGCGUAUUCUAGAAUACGUGGUCAAGUUUCAGGACCUUCUCAGGCUCUCCUGUCUUCAGCAUUGCCCACAGGUGUUAGCAUUUAGAUACACAGGACAGGAGAGAGGGCUGAACCGAGGGAAGGAAUGCCGUGUGGGAGGCAGAGUGGCAAGCGCCUGUAGGAGCAGGCCAAGCCAGGAGCCCGAGUGCCAGUGCUAGUGGAUGGGACACAGAUGAGGUUGGGCCAGCAUACAGAGGGCUGCAAGUGCCAGGCUGAAGAAUUUGCUCUUAAACUUUGAUUCUGCUUGAAUCCUCAUUUAUACCUAAUGUAAAAACGUAUUUCAGUAAAUACACAUUUCAUUUGUUAAAGAUGAGAAACAAAAAGUAAUGGAAAUUAUAUUUAAAAAGUCCAGCAGUAAUCAGUGUAUUUCCUACUUAAAGAAUAUGCUAUUAUUCUACAUAUUUUAAAAAUGAAAUAGAUGACUUGGAUGAGUUUUUUUCCAAGCAUUCACACAUGACACUUUUUUAUCUACAGUGUCUCUAACCUAUUUAUACCUCCAAGCCAAACAAGUCAGACUGUUUUUAAAUCUUGGAAAAUAAAGGAUGCAUUAACUCAUAUCAAAGUAAACACAGGUUUAAGAUUUUGCAUCGCCCCCCCCCCCCCAAGUUAGACAGUCACUCCAAAGAUAAUCUGAAAAAAAAAGAAAAGAAAGAAUUGCACUCUUGGUGUCUACAAGACAGAAUUCACCAUUCACUUUUGUUUUGGUGAUUUUAAAUGUUUCAGAGAGCCAGGUUAGGACCUGUGAUUUUAGUCGGCAGCAGAAAUCUUUUGAGAGAUGAUUGUUGUAUAUGGAAAUUACCAAAUAUUGCUUUUCCAAACUGUAGUCAAAGCUGAUUAUUUGAAUCCACAGUUAGUGACUAAGAAAAAUGUGUUAUUGGCUUAAAUUCUACCUAAGUAAGCUAAUGAAAAAAGCAGUAAGCUUUUCAGCUAUUAAAAAUAACUUCUUUCCAUCAUGGAAUUAGUUCAUUCAUGUAUUUAUUUAGCAUACAUUAAUUGAGUAUCUCUUAUGUGCCAGGCAUAAGGCUAGAAGCUGCAGAUACCGAGGUUAAAGAUCCAGUGCCUUCCCUCAGAAACUAGCUGGAACAUGGUUGAUUCCCUGGAUAGUUCCCCAUGUCAGUUCACAGUUCAUAGAUUCUUAUCAUUGCCACUGCCAUAAAUAAACGAGGCUGAGAUGAGAAUUUCUCCACCAAAAAGUAUGCCUGUGGAUUCUUGCCUUUCCUCAUGACUACCUUUUCUCUGAUGCUACGCUUUGUUCACCCUUGCAGCCACAACUCAGCAUGUUCGCCUCAAGUACACAGUUAGCUUUACUCUAUAUUGUGAGGUAGAUUACAUAUAUGCUCUCCUGUCACUGGCGCUUUUUCCCAGGCUUCAGACCUGAGACAAUCUCUUUCAGGCCCACCCAAUAAUUACUCCCCUGCUUUUUAAAAAUAGCUUUUUUGAGGUAUACUUGAACUCUAAUAAACUGCACAUGCUUAAAGUAUAUCAUCUGAUUAGUUUUGACAUAUGUAUACACUUACACAACCGUAAUCACAAUCAAGAGAGUGAACAGUGCCAUUAUUAGCGGAAGGUUCUUUGUGCCUCUUUGUGAUCCCUGUCAACAUUCCCCACCCUCCUGCCAUCCUCAGCAAACCACUGAUCUGCUUUCUGUCAUCAUACAUUAUUUUGCAAGUUCUAGAUUUUUAUAUAAAUGAAAUCUUACACUAUGUACUCUUUUUUUUUUUUUUGGUUUGGCUUCCUUCAUUCAGCAUAAUUAUUUUGGGAUCCAUCUAUGCAUGUAUCAAUGGUUCAUUCCUUUAUAUUGCUGAGUAAUAUUCUAUUUUGAGUUAAUGUUUUAAGGUACGGAUUAAGGUUCUUUUUUUUUUUUUUGCAUAUGGACAUCCAAUUGUUCUGGCACCAUUUGUUGAAAGAAAGACUACCCUUUCUCUACUGACUUGCCUUCACACCUUGGUCAGAAAUCAGUUAACUUUUCAUGUGUGGGCCUAUUUCUGGAUUCUGGAUUCUGUUCCUUUGAUCUGUCUGUCUUGUGCCAGUACCACACUGUCUUGAUUACUGUAGCUUUGUAAUAAGUCUUGAAAUCAGCAAGUGUUAGUCCUCCAACUUUGUUCUUUUUCAAACUUAUUUUGGCUAUUCUAGACCUUUUGCAUUUCCAAAAAAUUUCUGAAGUUUUAGAAUCAGUUUGUCAAUUAACUGAAAAAAAAGUACCUGCUGGGAGUUUGAUUGGGAUUGCUGUGAAUCUACAGAUUAGUUUGGGAAGAAUUAAUGUCUUUACCAUAGUAAGUCUCUUAACUCAUGAAGGUGAUAUUUCUCUCCAUUCAUUGGUAUCUUCUUAAAUUUCUAGCAAUGUUUUAUAGUUUUCAGUGUACAGGUCUUGCACAUAUUUUGUCAGAUUUAUUUUGUGUCUUCUGGUUUUUAUUCCCUGAUUAACUGGUUAGAAGUUUAUCAAUUUUAUUGAUCUUUUCAAAGAAUCAAUUUUUGGUUUCAUUGAUUUUUCUGUAUUUUCUAUUUUAUUUAUGUCCACUCUGAUCUUUAUAGUUUCCUUUCUUCUACUUACUUUGGGUUUAAUUUGCUUUUCUUUUUCUAGUUUUUUAACAUGAAAGUUGAGGUCACUGACUUGAGAUCUUUCUUAUUCUCUAGUAGAGGUUUUUCAUGCUAUAAAUUUCCUCUGACGUACUUGAUAUAU